UACGUAGGGGGCAAGCGUUGUCCGGAUUUACUGGGCGUAAAGAGCGUGUAGGCGGCCAAACAGGUCCGUUGUGAAAACUGGAGGCUCAACUUCCAGACGUCGACGGAACCGUGUGGCUAGAGUCCGGAAGAGGAGAGUGGAAUUCCUGGUGUAGCGGUGAAAUGCGCAGAUAUCAGGAAGAACACCAAUGGCGAAGGCAGCUCUCUGGGACGGUACUGACGCUGAGACGCGAAAGCGUGGGGAGCGAACAGG
rnacentral:rRNA from 1 species